rnacentral:rRNA from 1 species
GUCCUUUUGAUAAUAAUUUAAGGUCUAACCUGCUCAAUGAUUUUUAAAUAGCCGCAGUAUUUUGACUGUGCAAAGGUAGCAUAAUCAAUAGUUUUUUAAUUGAAAACUGGAAUGAAGGGUUGAAUAAGAAAAAUUCUGUCUCAAUUUUAAUUAAAUUGAAUUUUAUUUUUAAGUUAAAAAGCUUAAAUUUUUUUUAAAGACGAGAAGACCCUAUAGAGUUUUAUUUUAUUAAAUUUUAUUUUUGUUAGGUUUAGUUAAAUUUAAUUAAUUAAUUAAAUUUGAUUGGGGUGAUUGAAAAAUUUGACAAACUUUUUUUAUUUUUUUACAUUUAUUUAUGAAUUUUUGAUCCUUUUUAGAUUAAAAGAUUAAAUUACCUUAGGGAUAACAGCGUAAUUUUUUUUGAGAGUUCAAAUCGAAAAAAAAGAUUGCGACCUCGAUGUUGGAUUAAAGUUAAUUUUUGGUGUAGAAGCUAAAAUAUUUGGUCUGUUCGACCUUUAAAACUUUACA